AGUCGAGGGGUAACAUAGGAAAGCUUGCUUUUCUGAUGACGACCGGCGCACGGGUGCGUAACGCGUAUACAACCUACCUUUUAGCGGGGAAUAGCCCAGGGAAACUUGGAUUAAUGCCCCAUAGUAUGGAGAUCUCUCCUGAGAUUUUCAUUAAACAUUUAUGGCUAUUAGAUGGGUAUGCGUCCUAUUAGUUAGUUGGUAAGGUAACGGCUUACCAAGGCAGCGAUAGGUAGGGGUCCUGAGAGGGAGAUCCCCCACACUGGUACUGAGACACGGACCAGACUCCUACGGGAGGCAGCAGUGAGGAAUAUUGGACAAUGGGCGAGAGCCUGAUCCAGCCAUGCCGCGUGCAGGAAGACUGCCCUAUGGGUUGUAAACUGCUUUUACAGAGGAAGAACCACCCCCACGUGUGGGGGUUUGACGGUACUCUGCGAAUAAGGAUCGGCUAACUCCGUGCCAGCAGCCGCGGUAAUACGGAGGAUCCAAGCGUUAUCCGGAAUCAUUGGGUUUAAAGGGUCCGUAGGCGGGCAGUUAAGUCAGUGGUGAAAGUCUUCCGCUCAACGGGAGAACUGCCAUUGAUACUGAUUGUCUUGAGUUAUUAUGAAGUGGUUAGAAUGAGUAGUGUAGCGGUGAAAUGCAUAGAUAUUACUCAGAAUACCGAUUGCGAAGGCAGAUCACUAAUAAUAUACUGACGCUGAUGGACGAAAGCGUAGGUAGCGAACAGGAUUAGAUACCCUGGUAGUCUACGCCGUAAACGAUGGUUACUAGCUGUUCGGCCCAAUUGAGGGCUGAGUGGUUAAGCGAAAGUGAUAAGUAACCCACCUGGGGAGUACGUUCGCAAGAAUGAAACUCAAAGGAAUUGACGGGGGCCCGCACAAGCGGUGGAGCAUGUGGUUUAAUUCGAUGAUACGCGAGGAACCUUACCAGGGCUUAAAUGUAGUCUGACAGGGGUGGAAACACCCUUUUCUUCGGACAGAUUACAAGGUGCUGCAUGGUUGUCGUCAGCUCGUGCCGUGAGGUGUCAGGUUAAGUCCUAUAACGAGCGCAACCCCUGUGGUUAGUUGCCAGCGAGUAAUGUCGGGAACUCUAGCCAGACUGCCGGUGCAAACCGCGAGGAAGGUGGGGAUGACGUCAAAUCAUCACGGCCCUUACGUCCUGGGCCACACACGUGCUACAAUGGUAGGGACAGAGAGCAGCCACUUCGCGAGAAGGAGCGAAUCUACAAACCCUAUCACAGUUCGGAUCGCAGUCUGCAACUCGACUGCGUGAAGCUGGAAUCGCUAGUAAUCGCAUAUCAGCCAUGAUGCGGUGAAUACGUUCCCGGGCCUUGUACACACCGCCCGUCAAGCCAUGGAAGCCGGGGGU
rnacentral:rRNA from 1 species